ACGCUCGACACCUACGGGAAGCAGCAGUGGGGAAUAUUGCACAAUGGGGGAAACCCUGAUGCAGCGACGCCGCGUGGAGGAAGAAGGUCUUCGGAUUGUAAACUCCUGUUGUUGGGGAAAAAGAGGAUGGUACCCAACAAGGAAGUGACGGCUAACUACGUGCCAGCACGCCGCGGUAAUCUGAGGCGGGCUGGACAAGGC
rnacentral:rRNA from 1 species